UCAGGAUGAACGCUGGCGGCGUGCUUAACACAUGCAAGUCGAACGGUGAAGCCAAGCUUGCUUGGUGGAUCAGUGGCGAACGGGUGAGUAACACGUGAGCAACCUGCCCUGGACUCUGGGAUAAGCGCUGGAAACGGCGUCUAAUACUGGAUAUGAGCUCUCAUCGCAUGGUGGGGGUUGGAAAGAUUUUUCGGUCUGGGAUGGGCUCGCGGCCUAUCAGCUUGUUGGUGAGGUAAUGGCUCACCAAGGCGUCGACGGGUAGCCGGCCUGAGAGGGUGACCGGCCACACUGGGACUGAGACACGGCCCAGACUCCUACGGGAGGCAGCAGUGGGGAAUAUUGCACAAUGGGCGGAAGCCUGAUGCAGCAACGCCGCGUGAGGGAUGACGGCCUUCGGGUUGUAAACCUCUUUUAGCAGGGAAGAAGCGAGAGUGACGGUACCUGCAGAAAAAGCGCCGGCUAACUACGUGCCAGCAGCCGCGGUAAUACGUAGGGCGCAAGCGUUAUCCGGAAUUAUUGGGCGUAAAGAGCUCGUAGGCGGUUUGUCGCGUCUGCUGUGAAAUCCCGAGGCUCAACCUCGGGCCUGCAGUGGGUACGGGCAGACUAGAGUGCGGUAGGGGAGAUUGGAAUUCCUGGUGUAGCGGUGGAAUGCGCAGAUAUCAGGAGGAACACCGAUGGCGAAGGCAGAUCUCUGGGCCGUAACUGACGCUGAGGAGCGAAAGGGUGGGGAGCAAACAGGCUUAGAUACCCUGGUAGUCCACCCCGUAAACGUUGGGAACUAGUUGUGGGGACCAUUCCACGGUUUCCGUGACGCAGCUAACGCAUUAAGUUCCCCGCCUGGGGAGUACGGCCGCAAGGCUAAAACUCAAAGGAAUUGACGGGGACCCGCACAAGCGGCGGAGCAUGCGGAUUAAUUCGAUGCAACGCGAAGAACCUUACCAAGGCUUGACAUACACCAGAACACCGUAGAAAUACGGGACUCUUUGGACACUGGUGAACAGGUGGUGCAUGGUUGUCGUCAGCUCGUGUCGUGAGAUGUUGGGUUAAGUCCCGCAACGAGCGCAACCCUCGUUCUAUGUUGCCAGCACGUAAUGGUGGGAACUCAUGGGAUACUGCCGGGGUCAACUCGGAGGAAGGUGGGGAUGACGUCAAAUCAUCAUGCCCCUUAUGUCUUGGGCUUCACGCAUGCUACAAUGGCCGGUACAAAGGGCUGCAAUACCGUGAGGUGGAGCGAAUCCCAAAAAGCCGGUCCCAGUUCGGAUUGAGGUCUGCAACUCGACCUCAUGAAGUCGGAGUCGCUAGUAAUCGCAGAUCAGCAACGCUGCGGUGAAUACGUUCCCGGGUCUUGUACACACCGCCCGUCAAGUCAUGAAAGUCGGUAACACCUGAAGCCGGUGGCCCAACCCUUGUGGAGGGAGCCGUCGAAGGUGGGAUCGGUAAUUAGGACUAAGUCGUAACAAGGUAGCCGUACCGGAAGGUGCG
rnacentral:rRNA from 1 species